rnacentral:lncRNA from 1 species
CUUAAAAGAGCAGCUCUUUCCCCGAAGUGGAAACCUCAGCUGGGAGAAUCUGUGAGAAGGUGAAGUCUCCGAAGUCUCCGUGGAGGCCUGGAGAGGGAGCUGCAGCCAAAGGGACUUUCCAUGGGGGUGGUGGGGAGGCUGCUUCUCUGAAGACUUGCACACACUUGUUCCUCUCUCACCAGGUCACAGCCCCUGGAGACCUGAAUAGCCAUGGACUGCUCCAAGUCAGACAGAGACCCGAAUGAGGGAUUACGACUUGAGCUGCACCGGUUGGUGGACAAUUACUGUGAUCGUCAUCAGAAUGAACCAGAAGGAGAGGACGAGGUG